rnacentral:rRNA from 1 species
CCAGGAUUUCCUCAGUAAUGGCGAAUGAAGAGGAAUCGGCUCAAAUUUGUAAUCGCCGUUGAUUGCAACGGCGAAUUGUAGUCUCGAGAAGUACUACUCUCCUGGCAAAUCGACUUUGUCUAAGUUGCUUGGAACAGCACGUCGUAGAGGGUGACAACCCCGUACGUGGCAAGGUUCGAAUGCCGACGAGGUUCUUUCGAAGAGUCGGGUUGUUUGGGAAUGCAGCCCUAAAUUGGUGGUAAACUCCAUCUAAAGCUAAAUACCGGCACGAGACCGAUAGCGAACAAGUACCGUGAGGGAAAGAUGAAAAGAACUUUGAAAAGAGAGUUAAAGAGUACGUGAAACCGUUAAAAGGGAAGCGAAUGAAACCAGCAAUUCGCCUUGCCAGAUUCAGUCGCCUGCGCUCGAUCACGUGCUUGUUCGCGAUUUUUUCAGACGCGACUCGUACAGUUGGCCGAGCGAAGGCUGCGCACUUCUGGUAGGUGAGUGUCAGCAUCAGAUGGUCACGGGUUAGAAAGUUGCGAUGAAGGUAGAUCCUUACGGAUUGUUCAGCGUCGCAAACAAAUCACCCGAGGCUGCCUGUGGUCUAUCGCAAUGCGUGCCUUCCGUGGGUUGGCUGGUGUCCUGUUCUGUUGAUGCGGUUGUCGACUGCGGCGGACGGCUAUGCCAGUGCGUCCAAACCGCUUCCCGUCUCCAGAUCGGGGUGCACACACCACGCGUUGACGAUGCUGACGAAAAUACGGUUUCAUCCGACCCGUCUUGAAACACGGACCAAGGAGUCUAACAUGUGCGCGAGUCUGUGGGUGAUCGAAACCCGGUGGCGAAAUGAAAGUGAAGGGAACUUUUUGGUUGCUGAGGUGAGAAGCCCGGCCGUCGUGGCCAAGCCGCAUCAUCGACCGACCUGUUCUAAUCCUAGAAAGGUUUGAGUAAGAGCGUAGCUGUUGGGACCCGAAAGAUGGUGAACUAUGCCUGAAUAGAGUGAA